ensembl:lncRNA
CCAAAUCCACUAAUCACUGCACACAUUAGCACCAUGUGCUAACUGUGGCUAAAGAACCACAUUUACCAAGACAACUAUCCAGUACAAAGCCCUAAAACACACCAAGAAACACAUUAAAGACGAUUUUACUGCUGGAAGCUACAAGCCAACGCCUAAAUAACAAACUAAAGCAAUGGAGCCAAACCCGGUGAAGAGAAGCAGAGGAAAUGCUUUGCUGCAGCCACAUAAAGCAGGAAGACACUGAGCUGCUCAGGUGUUCCUGAUAACACCAAGCAGCCACCUGGACAGCCAAUAGGAACACAGCUUACUGGAAGUCCAGAGGGCUGGCUUAGUCAAGGAAAUUUAGUUUAAAGUUGAAGCAGAAAGUUAACAAAGAAAGUUGAAAACCACCUUCUGAUACCUGAAAUCUCUGAGUUUUCACACAAAGAACGCCUGAACAUGUCAAACUGGUUCCAUAGUAGAACCAUCAUUGUAAAAACGUCAUAGUAUGGUGUGUUGCUCAAAAAACAUUAGGACCCGGCUGUCUAGGGUUGCCGAGGAGCAACACAAAAACAGGACAAACGCUGGUUUCCAGGGGGCUAAGAGGAUAUUUAUUUGAAAGAGUAAGUCUACAACAACAUGUGAGCAGAAAAAUCACAAAGUCUGUCUUUAGUUCAGCUGAAAAUAUUAGUUUUUGUCUUUUAUUGACCAAACUUUUCAGGAAGUAGAUGAAGAAUAAUUAAAGCUCUCAUGUAGAAGUCCAACUUAUUUUGGAUCCUUGUGGAGAGUUUAAUCUUAGAGUUUGUCAAGCUGUUGAGUUUUUACAGUCACAUGGAUUGUUUUGACAUUUAAUAACCGAGUCAUGAAAUAAAAUUACAGUUGUGGAUUUCUGUCAUUUAGUCUGGACUAAACAAAUAACAGCAGCAUAAAUCUCAAACGUCAUUAUGAGGAAUCUGGAUGGAGGUUUCUCACUUGAUAAUGAUCAAAGUAUGAAAUUUAGGUGGGUUUAAAGGAAUAUUCCUCCUUAAAUCUUUGAAUGGUGACCUAAAAGGUUGGUUUCAGGAACUAUUCCACCUACAAGGUCCUCAAACAUCGACCUUAAAGGAACAUUCCACCAAAAUUUUACAGCUGCCAAAGAUAUGAGCUCCAAUUCUGGAUGUUUUAGGAAAUGAAGUUCAUCAAAUGAACACUUGAUUAUUGCUGAUAACUCUCAUUAAAUUACUGAAGAAAUCUAACAUAAAAACCUGUAAACUCUCAGGCAGCUUUUGUUAAAGUUUGUCUAUAAUUCUAUCAUCAUGUUCUGGAACCAGGACUCUGCAGAGGUUCUUUCAAUCAGAUACUUGUGUUUUGAUUUAAGGCCUCAGGUUUGAACGUACAGCAGAGGAUUAGAAAGGAGUGAUUUUAAUAUUUAAAUCAGUCCAGUAAAUGUUUGGCGUGAAAAUUAUUAAAAUUUUGAUUUAGAUAGAUUUGUGUCAAAUAAUAUUGUAGAGUCUCACUUAAAUAUAUCCAAAUGAGUUCAGUGUAUUUAUAUUUUAUAGAAUAUUUGGUUUCUUAAUCUCAAUACUGUAGGGUCUGACCCUAAGUAUUAUAAUAAUGAUGUAAAUUUAAAUAAUAUUUUAGUGCAGUCAUAAACUUUAAUCAGCUAAACUUACAUAAUAAAUAUCACUGUACAAUCUUAACCUGAACAUUCAUAUUAUUCAGGUAAAUAUACAUAAAUCAUGAUAUUCUAGAGUCUUAACUGGAAUAUUUCUAACAUUAAUCUUUUUGUAUUGUGCUGAUAAACAACAAUAACCCAACUUUCAGAUAAUAUUUGAUGUCUGUGAUUGUGAGACUAAAUUCCUCCACAUUCUGGAACUGGACUGCAUCUCCCAAAAUGGAAACAUGGACUGAAUUUAUUUGUUUUAUUGUCUCUUCUGUUUAGUGUGUCUUUUGAAAUGUUUCGUCUUUAGUUUGAUUCUUCUUAAAUGUUUAGUUUUGCUCUUUUCUCACCUUUUAUUCUUUUCUAAUGUCUGAUUUGAUUUCCAAAUGUUUUGUCUUUUUAAUGUUUAAUUGUUUUUUCAAAUGUUUUAUCGGCUUGUUUGAGUUUCUUUUUCUUUCCCAAUAUUUAAUGUUUCGAUUAAAUCUUUAAGGUUUUUCUUUUAAAAUGUUUUACCACCUUUUAAUGUUUAAUUUUCUUUUUAAAUGCUUCAUUGUAUUUUCUGUGUAAUUCCUAUUUGAAGUUUUAUUGUCUUUAAGAUGUAAUUUUGUAAUUAAACAUUUA